CGGUAAUACGAAGGGGGCUAGCGUUGCUCGGAAUCACUGGGCGUCACGCGCACGUAGGCGGAUUGCUAAGUCAGAGGUGAAAGCCCGGGGCUCAACUCCGGAACUGCCUUUGAAACUAGAUAGCUUGAAUCCAGGAGAGGUGAGUGGAAUUCCGAGUGUAGAGGUGAAAUUCGUAGAUAUUCGGAAGAACACCAGUGGCGAAGGCGGCUCACUGGACUGGUAUUGACGCUGAGGUGCGAAAGCGUGGGGAGCAAACAGG
rnacentral:rRNA from 1 species